GAUGAAGAACGUAGUGAACUGCGAUAAGUAAUGUGAAUUGCAGAAUUCAGUGAAUCAUCGAGUCUUUGAACGCACAUUGCGCCCCCUGGCAUUCCGGGGGGCAUGCCUGUCCGAGCGUCAUUGCUGCCCUUCAAGCCCGGCUUGUGUGUUGGGUCGUCGUCCCCCCCGGGGGACGGGCCCGAAAGGCAGCGGCGGCACCGCGUCCGGUCCUCGAGCGUAUGGGGCUUUGUCACCCGCUCGAUUAGGGCCGGCCGGGCGCCAGCCGGCGUCUCCAACCUUCUAUUUUACCAGGUUGACCUCGGAUCAGGUAGGGAUACCCGCUGAACUUAAGCAUAUCAAUAAGCGGAGA
rnacentral:misc_RNA from 1 species